GAAACGACUGCUAAGACUGGAUAGGAAGCGGGGAGGCCUCUCGCCGCUUUUAAAAGACCUAGUUUCUAGGUAUGCUUAAGGAGGGGCUUGCGCCAUAUUAGUUAGUUGGUAGGGUAACGGCCUCCCAAGACGAUGAUGUGUAGCUGGACUGAGAGGUUGAACGGCCACAUUGGGACUGAGAUACGGCCCAAACUCCUACGGGAGGCAGCAGUAGGGAAUUUUCGGCAAUGGAGGCAACUCUGACCGAGCAACGCCGCGUGAACGAUGAAGUACUUCGGUAUGUAAAGUUCUUUUAUUAAGGAAGAAAACAGCCCGGCGAACCGGGCUUUUGACGGUACUUAAGGAAUCAGCCCCGGCUAAUUAUGUGCCAGCAGCCGCGGUAAUACAUAAGGGGCGAGUGUUAUCCGGAAUUAUUGGGCGUAAAGGGUGCGUAGGCGGUGAAGUUAGUCAAUGGUGUAAUGGCAGCGCUUAACGGUGUCCGGCUAUUGAAACUGCUUCACUCGAGUGAGAUAGAGGCGAGUGGAAUUCCAUGUGUAGCGGUAAAAUGUGUAAAUAUAUGGAGGAACACCAGAGGCGUAGGCGGCUCGCUGGGUCUUGACUGACGCUGAGGCACGAAAGCGUGGGGAGCAAACAGGAUUAGAUACCCUGGUAGUCCACGCCGUAAACGAUGAGUACUAAGUGUCGGGUUCCCCCGGUACUGAAGUUAACACAUUAAGUACUCCGCCUGAGUAGUACGUACGCAAGUAUGAAACUUAAAGGAAUUGACGGGACUCCGCACAAGCGGUGGAUCAUGUUGUUUAAUUCGAAGAUACGCGAAAAACCUUACCAGGCCUUGACAUGUUCGUGCAAUGCAGUAGUAAUAUUGCGGAGGUUAUCACGAUCACAGGUGGUGCAUGGUUGUCGUCAGCUCGUGUCGUGAGAUGUUAGGUUAAGUCCUAAAACGAGCGAAACCCUUGUCAUUAGUUGCCAGCAUGUUAAGAUGGGGACUCUAAUGAGACUGCCAGUGACAAACUGGAGGAAGGUGGGGAUUACGUCAAAUCAGCAUGCCCCUUAUGGCCUGGGCUACAAACGUGAUACAAUGGCUGUGACAAAGAGUAGCUGAAACGCGAGUUUUUAGCCAAUCUCAAAAACGCAGUCUCAGUUCGGAUUGAAGUCUGCAACUCGACUUCAUGAAGUUGGAAUCGCUAGUAAUCGCGAAUCAGCAUGUCGCGGUGAAUACGUUCACGGGGUUUGUACACACCGCCCGUCA
rnacentral:rRNA from 1 species